rnacentral:rRNA from 1 species
CCUACGGGGGGCAGCAGUAAGGAAUCUUCCGCAAUGGGCGAAAGCCUGACGGAGCAACACCGCGUGGGCGAUGAAGGCCUUCGGGUCGUAAAGCCCUUUUCUGUGGGACGAUAAUGACGGUACCACAGGAAUAAGCCACGGCUAACUACGUGCCAGCAGCCGCGGUAAUACGUAGGUGGCUAGCGUUAUCCGGAUUCACUGGGCGUAAAGCGUUUGUAGGCGGUCCUGCAAGUUUGUUGUUAAAUCCUAAGGCUUAACCUUAGGGCCGCAGCAAAUACUGCAGAACUCGAGGGGAAAAGAGGUAAGUGGAACUCCCGGUGUAGCAGUGAAAUGCGUUGAUAUCGGGGGGAACGCCAAAGACGAGGGUGGCUUACUGGUUUUUUCCUGACGCUGAGGAACGAAAGCGUGGGGAGCGAAUGGGAUUAGAUACCCCUGUAGU